ACGCAUUUCACUGCAGCACACAACUAUCCCUGUGGAGGAGCAUGAACUGCAGGCUGUAGAGGCGCUCUGAAGUCUCCUGGGUGGCUCCAUCAGUUCGACACACAGAUGUUUUCCCCCAGACAGCAGCGCUCUCAGUCUGCGAGUGUAAAUUACAUCCAGGCUGCUCGUGUGUCUGCUCUUCCUCCUGACGCUUCGCAGGUAGUUUCUGUACAGCAUCACGCUGAUCACCCUGUCCUGGAACUGCUUGGAGACGAUGUAGUACAGAAUGACGUCCAGAACCGUGCUUAAGUUCAUGAGGAACGUGGAGAACACGACCCAUGUCCAGAAGGCCUCAUUUUUGUCCAGGCCUAGCAAAUGCAGCACCAAGCACACGUGGAACGGCACGAAACAAACCAAAACCUGAACGAUGAGCGUGAUGAUGAUCCUGAUGGACUUCCUCCUCACUUUGGGUUUGAGCUUGGAGGUGCGCCCGUGGAUCAGGUUGUCCACAACCACCACGUAGCAGCCAAUCAUAACACAGAUGGGGAGCAGGAAGAAAAAGGCCACGCGGGCCAAGUUGACGGAGUCUUCGCGCCGCAGGCAGAUGACGUCCUGCAUUUUGAAGCAUGUGGUGAAGUUGCCGGUCUGAUUGCCCCCGCCCGGGAAGAGCAAGGGGGUGGUGCUUCCCAAGGUCAUAAGCCAUGCACCCGCGCAUGCCGCCACCGUCUUCGGGACAUUCCUCAGCUCCUUGCCAUGCUUAGGCUGCACGACGGCCAUGUAUCGGUCAGCGCUGAUAAGAGUGAAAAGCCACAAAGCGAUGCACGGGUAGAAAACGGUGAGGGCGGCGCUAAUGCGGCAGAAAAUGUCGCCAAAGGGCCAGAAGUCCCAGUGGAGGUAGAUCAUCCGGAAGGGGAGCAACAGGAUGAAGAUGAGGUCCACCAGCGCCACGUUGGUCAUGUACACGGUGAUGGUACUUUUCUUCUUGGUGGUCAGGGCAAACACCCAUAAAGCGCUCAGGUUGACGAUGACGCCGCUGAUGAAGAUGAAGCAAUAGAAGACCAGGCCUGCUGUGCGGUACUCAUCCGGAAGCCUAGAUGGUAGCGUCAUAAUGAAGAUGGCCCAAAUUCUGAAGAAAAACAGCAAAAGUGUAACACAAGGUAAUCAUUGUUUUGCCCACUGAAAGUUCAGAGUGUAAUAAUAGUAUAAUGAAUAUUUUACAAUACUAUUGAACAGUUAUGACUAAAUUAAUUAGUUAAUUUGUAAAAAAGGCUUCCUCACUACUGAAGGCCUUACUGAAUGCCUGGUACUCCCUGCAGUUGAGUAAACAAAUGCCCCUUGUCGCUAUUAAUGAGGAAGCCAAGUCAGGUUUUUAGCAGGGGCACAGGGGUUGCCAACUACAGUGCAAAAUAACAUCGUAAACGGUGUGAAAGCGGUUUGGCAUUUUUACAUGUAAAUUAUGUACAGUAUGUCACGUAUUUAAGUUUUUGCUGAAAUGUAGUAUAAUCUUGAUCUCUUGAAUUUAAAAUGAGAUACUACUAUUUUGUAGAAGGGUGCAGCGGCAUAAAAAAGAAGAAUAAGAAUAAAUUCUAAUUCAUGUAAGUUAUUAUAAUAUAGUAAUUCUACUCUGAGUGCUUCUAAAUACAAAACACCACAGGAGGACAUGUUUAUUUAACUCCUAGUGAAAGUGAAAGGGUUAUUUAAAUUCAAAACAGUCUGCCAGGAAAUAGAAAAGUGGGCGAUGACUGUACUUUUUGAGCAUCACAAAGCAACAGGUUGUCAUUAACACAUGAAAUGAAACAUUUCACCGCAGGAAAGGAACCAACAGUGUGACUUCAUUCUUCUAUUCGUGUCAUAAAUAAAUGAAAAUUCAACUGGUAAGUACAUGUAACACUGUUUAUUGUCUGUAUGAUAGUUAAAUGCAAUAAAUAAUUAGCCACCACUGAUAUUGUUUUUGAUAAAUUGUCUGCCGUGGGGGUACAAAAAGUGGAAGUGAGAUUAGCGUCACUGCACAGCGUGAUGGGAAUUGAUAAAUCAUGUGACCAGAUGACUUUACUAUUAUCCUGUAAAUGCCUGCUGCCUGUUGUAGCACAUAUUACCUCAAACACGAUGAUCAAAUAUGAGAAAACCUAUUGCGAGAAGCUAAAAAAACAUAUUUCACAUUUAAAAAAAUAAUAAUUUGUUGACAUAAAGCAUGACAAUGUGAGUAGUUAUUUUUAAAAAGCACACCACAUUCUGCUCAAUUUAUACAGGUCACAAUCGGUCAGAAAAUGCUGCAACUUACCACACAAAUCACACAACAAACGCUCUGUUGCAUCAGUGAACAGUCAAAAUAAGGAAGUGUGAGACCCUCUGAUGUCACUUCCUGUGCGUGCACUUUCUCCACCUGCGUGCCGUCCGCAGUUACACCCCCCUUUAAAGAAAAUGAUGCGCCAUUAGAAGUGUGUGUGUGAGGGGUAGCGCCGUCUUUGGCAGGCAGAGCGAUGGCAGAUUUAGGGCGAGUUAUUGAUUGGAAAAGUGGGGUCUGUCACAGCACAUUAGCUCUCGGGGGAGUCAUCCACAGCAGGUUUGCUCGCGAGAAGCAUCUGCUGCGGGAGAGAAGUAAUUAAAAACAGGAUGUUGAAGCAGUUGCCGUAUAAACAGGAAAUAAGACGGCUGUAAUAGACACUUCAUGGCGGUGCUGUGAAAUGUUCUUUUUUUUUAUUGCAGUGGCCACUUAA